CUAUGCCUAACACGUUUGUUUGUUCAGGCCAAGGUUGAUGGAUUUCUUCCUGGUGGUCCAAGUCUCCAUAACUAUAUGACUCCCCAUGGUCUUGAUACCAAGUCAUAUGAGGUUCUUGUCGGAUGGGUUGGCUUGGCCGUCUUAUUUGCACUUUGUUUCAUUGAAGCUCGUUUGAAAAUCUAGUAUCUGAGAUAUCAGUUUAUCAUUAUGAGUUAUAUAUUCAUAUUUACAAAUGUUUUCUCUAGGAUAGUCAUUAUGCUUAUAUGCUUGAUACGGUUGUGAUAUGAAAAGAAAAGAUAGUCUAUUUUCUAUUUCACAUUACUUUGGGAAGAGAAUAAAGUAUUCAAGAAAGUUGUUAAGAAAAACAGCGAAGCAAAUUUUAUUCUUCAUGAUGGCCCUCCAUAUGGUAAUGGCGAUCUUCACAUAGGGCAUGCUUUAAAUAAAAUUUUGAAAGAUAUUAUUAAUCUUUAUAA